AGAGUUUGAUCCUGGCUCAGGAUGAACGCUGGCGGCGUGCCUAACACAUUCAAGUCGAACGAACUGUAGAAAUACAGUGAGUGGCGGACGGGUGAGUAACGCGUAAGCAAUCUGCCUUUGUGUGUGGAAUAACAACCGGAAACAGUUGCUAAUACCGCAUAACGCAGAGAGAUCGCAUGGUCUUUCUGCCAAAGAUUUAUCGCACGAAGAUGAGCUUGCGUCCGAUUAGAUAGUUGGCGGGUAACGGCCACCAAGUCGACGAUCGGUAGCCGACCUGAGAGGGUGAUCGGCCACAUUGGGACUGAGACACGGCCCAAACUCCUACGGGAGGCAGCAGUGGGGAAUAUUGGGCAAUGGGGGGAAAAACCCCUGACCCAGCAACGCCGCGUGAGGGAAGAAGGUUUUCGGAUCGUAAACCUCUGUCCUUGGUGAAGAGGAAGAGACGGUAGCCAAGGAGGAAGCCCCGGCUAACUACGUGCCAGCAGCCGC
rnacentral:rRNA from 1 species